AUUAUGGAGAGUUUGAUCCUGGCUCAGGAUGAACGCUGGCGGCGUGCCUAAUACAUGCAAGUCGAACGCGCGGAUCAGGAGCUUGCUCCUGUGACGCGAGUGGCGGACGGGUGAGUAACACGUAG
rnacentral:rRNA from 1 species